rnacentral:rRNA from 1 species
GUGGGGGAUAUUGCACAAUGGGGGAAACCCUGAUGCAGCGACGCCGCGUGAGGGAAGACGGUUUUCGGAUUGUAAACCUCUGUCUUUGGGGACGAAGAUGACGGUACCCAAGGAGGAAGCUCCGGCUAACUACGUGCCAGCAGCCGCGGUAAUACGUAGGGAGCAAGCGUUGUCCGGAAUUACUGGGUGUAAAGGGAGCGUAGGCGGGAUAGUAAGUUGAUUGUUAAAACUAUUGGCUCAACUGAUAGAUGCGAUCAAAACUGCAAUUCUUGAGUGAAGUAGAGGCAGGCGGAAUUCCUAGUGUAGCGGUGAAAUGCGUAGAUAUUAGGAGGAACACCAGUGGCGAAGGCGGCCUGCUGGGCUUUAACUGACGCUGAGGCUCGAAAGUGUGGGUAGCAAACAGG